CAUUAUCUGGAGGAAGAAGGAGACGGGGUUGUGGUCGAUUCAAUGGCCUGUCUGCCGUCCGCGGUGGCUAUGAGGCACUACUGGUUUAUACCACUAGGGGCGCUACAGCUAGUAGUCAGGACCAGUUUACUAGUAUGUGGAGUUGUCUUUGUGGUCCCUAAUACACCUUCUCUCUUCUGUGGCAGGUCUGAAAACGCUGUUAGCUCAAUAUAGUUCAAAAAUCAUCAUCCUCUUUCUAUUAAAUAUACUUUAUUGUGACUAUAUUCUUAAUUGUUACCCUUUCUUUUGCAGUUUGUGCGGUUAUACUAGUCGGUCUGGACCAGUUAUCCCCAGUGGUCCCUCCCUCGGUCCUUGUAGUCCGGACCAGUUGUCAAGUGGUCUGUCCCGCAGUGCUCAUCCACUGAACACCUUCUACGUCCUAUCUCUCCUUCAACUGAGUUGAAUUUCACUCUAAAGAACUAUGGUUCCACCAGAGGCAGGCAGACUUGGGUACUAAAGGAGUGUUUAAAGCACAAAACAAGACCCACCAGCUAAGCGUGGGCUGUUGGACUUCUUCCACUCCCGCGUGAUGGGAUGUUGACUUCCAUCCACGAUGCACCUGAUGCUAACGGACUCUCCCUGCCGCACCGACACCACGCGGGGCUCAAUGGACACAACCGGGGCCUGGGCGCCCACUGCAGACAGACAGA